GAGGGUAUAGCUCAGUGGUAGAGCAUGUGCUUAGCAUGCAUGAGGUCCUAGGUUCGAUCCCCAGUACCUCCA
rnacentral:tRNA from 1 species